GCGUUCUCAGGGAUGGGACCAGAGAGAAGGGUGUGAAGGAGACCCCAGUUGAGGCAGGACAUUGCAGGUAAAGAAGGGGAAGAAGAGGCCGAGAAGUCGAGGGCCAGACUGUGAAGGAGAAUAAAGGAGGUCAAAGAGAGGUCAUAUCGUCGUACCUCACUUCCUGACACAAACAAGUUUUUACUGUUGUCAGCAACAAAGCCCUAAUAUAGCUGCGGAAGAGAAAAACUGCAUUGCAUUUGCCUCCUGCAAGCAUCAUCAACACAGUUACCGGAGGAAUGUAAUUCCAGAAAAGCUUUAAAGCUGGUGUGAUGGUAAUUAUGUAUCAAAUGCCUGAUUCUAUUUCUGUUAUUAUUUUGUCAUUUCUGAUCUACUCAACAGCAGGCUGAACUCGCAGAGGGACAAAUCCAGUUUUUCUUUUUCCCUUGGUAAAAUUUAAUCGGACCUGAUACAAAACUCAUUGCUCUUGGGGAAAAUAAGUAGGAGCCACGAAAUGUAAUUUUAACAGAGCGUGGGUUUUGUGACUGUAGGAAAGGAUUUAAGGACGCUCCUUCUGUUCGGUUUCCUAUGUAAUGAGAAAAGGCUACACGCACGCACAGACGCCACAGCUCCCGGAUGCUGUGGCUCACUCAUCUGGGCUUCUGCAGCGCCAGAAGCCCCUCCGGGAUGCUGCGAGGGGCUCUCGGUGGGUGGUGGUACAAACGCUGCGGCCGCUGCCGCCAGUCCUGCCGCUGCUGUUGUUGCUGCUGCAGUCACGUGGGAGGCCCUUUAAGUUUCCAUAGAGAGGCCUCUCCGGUGUCACAUGAUGGACAUGAUAUAAUGAAACAACAUUGUGGAGAGGAAAGCAUUAGGGGAGCCCACGGCUACAAAAACAAGUGAGUGAGAAGAGGUGGGAGGAAGAGAAACUACGCCACCUCCCCUGCAGCCGAGCUGCACGCAGCAGCAGCCCGCGGGAAGUGGGCGACGCCGGGGGGGAAGGGAGACUCGGUCCCCAGCCCUGCUGCCCACCGCAAAGAGAACAACUUUUAGCCGGCAGCCUCGGCCAGCACUGUCUCCACCUGUCUCCGGAGCCUCCAUCGCUCCUCGUGAUGAUCAAAGGGGCAUUCUAGAAGAAUAUGUUCUACAAAUAUACAUGCGCAUCAUUUCCCCCCUUGCGUCUCGCUCCGGAGGAAGGAAAGAGGAAGGGAUUUAAGCAGCAGCGUGUGUUCAGCCCCAAGGGAACUGGACGGCGUCGCUUCCAACACACCCCCGCCCCCCCGGCGCAGGUUCCAGAAGGCGGGCUGGGUGGGUCUCCAGGUUUCCAGAGAGCGAGUGGCGUAGCAGGGAGAAAAAUCAAGACCACCCCCCACCCCGUUUUAAAUAUCUGAUUCAGCUCGAAGCUAGGCUGAAGGCACCACCAAGCCUGCCUGGAAGGGAACUUCUGCUCAGUUCUUGGACUGAGGGAUGGAAUAGGAUUUUACUUCACUUGUUUUCAGGGACUCUUAACUGGUGAAAAGAGUUGGGAUAUUUUAUCAUCUGGAGUUUCUCUGCCUCGCUGAUGAUCUAAGCUCAAACCUGCCAGUUUAUGGGAGAUGAUAGAAAACACUCUCUAACAUCUGAGUUGCAGAAAUAUGUGCCUCUAAGAACUCAGGAGGACCUACUUUGUGGGAGCAAAGGUAGUGAGUCAUACCUGCAAGCUUGGAAACGAGAGUUCACUUGUGCCUCUUCAUCCAGUCGGGACAUUUCCUCGGCAACCAUUUAUGCAGCAAUUAGAAGAUGAGGAGUUGAGAGGUUUCUACUUGGAUGUCCAUGAGGAUAUGAUAAAUAUUUCUCUUCCUCUGUGAAACACUAAUGCUCCCAGACUUUCUUUAACAUGGACUUGCACUAAUCAAAACUACAAUGAGAUAUUGUCUCACACCGAUCAGAAUGGCCAUCAUCAAAAAAUCUACAAACAAUAAAUGCUGGAGAGGGUGUGGAAAAAAGGGAGCCCUCUUGCACUGUUGGUGGGAAUGUAAACUGAUACAGCCACUAUGGAGAACAGUAUAGAGGUUCCUUAAAAAACUAAAAAUAGAACUACCAUAUGACCCAGCAAUCCCACUACUGGGCAUAUACCCUUGAGAAAACCAUAAUUCAAAAAGAGUCAUGUACCAAAAAAAUGUUCAUUGCAGCUCUAUUUACAAUAGCCAGGACAUGGAAGCAACCUAAGUGUCCAUCAACAGAUGAAUGGAUAAAGAAGAUGUGGCACAUAUAUACAAUGGAAUAUUACUCAGUCAUAAAAAGCAACGAAACUGAGUUAUUUGUAGUGAGGUGGAUGGACCUAGCAUCUGUCAUACAGAGUGAAGUAAGUCAGAAAGAGAAAAACAAAUACCAUUUGUAUGCUAACACAUAUGUAUGGAAUCUAAAAAAAAAAAAAAGGUUCUGAAGAACCUAGGGGUAGGACAGGAAUAAAGACGCAGACGUAGAGAAUGAACGAGGACACGGGGAGGGGGAAGGGUAAGCUGGGACAAAGUGAGAUAGUCACGUGGACAUGAAUACAUUACCAAAUGUAAAAUAGGUAGCUAGUGGGAAGCAGCCGCAUAGUACAGGGAGAUCAGCUCAGUGCUUUGUGACCACCUAGAGGGGUGGGAUAGGGAGGGUGGGAGGGAGGGAGAUGCAAGAGGGAGGAGAUAUGGGGAUAUAUGUAUAUGUAUAGCUGAUUCACUUUGUUAUAAAGCAGAAACUGACACACCAUUGUAAAGCAGUUAUACUCUAAUAAAGAUGUUAAAAUAAAAAUUAAAAACGAAAACAAAACAUGGACUUGCACUAAAUUCCAUCUUAAUGAAUAAGGUGUCUUCUUUUCAUGCGCCAGUGAAAGAGGAAAGUCCUACUAGUUACAUGACAGGCUCGUUUUCAAUAGUGUCAGAGAUAAUCUGAAGAGAACCAUAAUAUUAAAUCAUUAGUGGUGCUAAUUUUAAAUAGGGCUAUGCUGUGAUCCUAGAUCAGGUGUUCUGUAGAAAUGUUAAACCCAAGAUGAAAUCUAGCGAUUGGCUGUUUUCUAACUGGAGACUGAGAGAAGCCACCUCCCCACUCUGAGGGCCUGAGGGCUUCAUGAACGUUUUCAACUUUUAGCCACAAUAAUUUGAAUUUUCUUUUGGAUACCUCAGUCGAUUCCCUUCUGUCGCCAGCAACUUUGAGACUUUUACUGCAGAAAUGUGACCGAUUAAGUAGGCGAAUUUUGUUGUUAAUGGUUUUUUAUCUCCUCCCUGGGUACCUAGAUCUGUGGAAGAAAUUAUAACAAAUCCCUGGUCUAGAGUCAAGCCUCUGGACUCUUUUUUUUUCCUAUAGUGAAAGUGAAAAUUUACUAAUUCUUAGAGUCAAAAUGUAUCUAAGCUACUUAAUUCUUAAGUCCAUUUUGACAAUGACCUUUUAGUGGUACUGAUGAUGCAAUUCUACCCUUAAUUUUAACUUCUUUCAUUUAAUUACAUAUUUGAAAUGUCAGGCUGUAGUUCACGAACUUCCUUAAGUUAUUUUUACACUGGGGUUAUAAAUAAGAUAAUAAUUUGGCUUAUUAUUUUUAAUAUCUGUGACUUUUUUUGUGAAAUAAAAAUUGAUUUAUCAAUUGAUUCAUGCAUUCAUUCACUGAAUGUCUCCUAUUUGCCAGUCACUGUAUUAGGUGCUGGAGAUACAAAGAUUAAGACCUAGUCUCUUACUUUAAAGGUGCUAACAAGUACACAAGGAGAGGCGCAUAAAUAAAUAUUGUUAUAAGAAUAGCAAACACUUCUGUAGUACUUACUAUAUGCCAGGCACUGUUCUAAGUGUUUCCUAGGCAUUAACUUUAAGUCCUGAAUUGAUAAAAAAGCCCUAUGAUGUUCUUACUAUUAUUUUCUCUAUUUUACAUAAAAACAAAUUAGGGCCCGGAGAGGUUAAGCACUUGUCCAAGGUCAUAAAGCUUGUUUUGGUUGACAGUCGAAUGUAGUUAAGUGCAGAAACAGAGCUGCCUAUGGAAUGCUCUGGCAGAACAGGGGAGCAUCCAGCUGGGGAAAUGGGGAAUGGAGAUGUCGUAUCAGUGACAUCUUUCCGAAGGAGACAAUCCCUGAACAAGUGGGGUGGAAGAGGCAGAUUUUUCUUUGAAAUAUUUAUUAACAUAAAUGCCGCAUCAUAAAUGAGUUCAUAGGUCAAAUCAGUGACAAAUACCAGAAGAUGAGGAGAUAGUAAAAAUAUACCAGAUCCCUGCAUCUUCAAUUUAAACGACAAGGAAAAAGAUUUCCAAUUUUGAGGCAGACACUUAUUUUCAGUUGGUAUAAAUUACGGUAAAAACUUGGCAUUUGAAAAAAAUCUAAUAGAAAUGUUAAUUUACUUAUACUCUGUAAGCAUGUGGGAUAAAUGUGUGAUCCUUUGGAAGAUUCUAAAAUGAAUGCCCAAUCACUGAAGAUUUUAUCUUGGGAAACCUGUAGUAAUCUAAUAGUCUACUACUAGUAUUUAUUUGUGUAAAUGCAGCGGAAAGAUUGGUUAACAUCUUUCAGAUUAAAAAUUGGCAGAACUACCUGACUAGGUAAGUUAGUUUCAUCAUUACAGAGAUGAAAAACUAUUCAGAAGGUGGGCUGGUGGCACCCAUGCCUGGCCUGGCUGCGCUGGGUCUUUGCUUUUCCACCUUCCUGUCCACCCCCUACUUUUUUGAGCAUCAGCCGUAUGUUUAACCAUCCUUUUGCCCCCCACCCCCCUAUAAGUCUUCUCUGCUGACUUCCUCAUUACUCCCACUCAUCACUGAUGACUGCCUCAUUGCUCUCCACCCUGCCCCAGCUUCACGGGAUGACCCACCUCCUUCCCUGACGGCAUGGGUUUUGGGGCUUGUCUUCACCAGUGAUCUCCCCAACUCCCCUCAGUUCCCCACUUCCUAGACCUUGUCUACUCAUGGCUCAGAUCAGUAAGUCAGAAAUUCCCUCCUUGACCACAUCCUCUUGUCCAUCCACCUUGUCCCACAGAGUUACACCCGCUGCCUCUCCUUUGAUCUCACUGAGACCUCCCUAAUCGGUGGACUCCUUUGCUCUGUACUUAGCCGUUAGUUCCUUCCUGUCUUUAUUUCCCUCCUUGUCCGUGUAGAAUCCGUGGUCCAGGUUUUAAGUCACUCUCUUGCCAAAAGCUUACGCCUCCUGACCUUUUUGUCCUUUUGCUUGCAUCCAGGCUGCUGAGCAGUGUUGGAGCGAAUCCUACGAGGAGGUAGAUUGGUACCUGUCUGCAUAAGUUGAGGUGUUGCCCAACACUGCACAGCACUUGCAUGAUUCUGGUUAACUGUCCUACUCGUUCUUCAUGGUGCCUGUUACUAAGCUAGUCCAAUCCUCAAACUCAUGAUCCUUCUCCUCCCCACUUACUCUCAUCAGCCGAGUUCCUGCAGUGGAACUCUCUGUCCCACCUGCCACGGAGCCUUCUCUGGUCCUGAUGACCUCCUGGUUUUUCAUCCACCUUUUAUACUGUCUUAAUUGUCUUUGUACGUUUCAUUUCCAGCAAACUGACUUCUGUUAUAAGACGAGUACAGACAUCUGCUUUCUCUCCUAAGUACAGUAAAACAUUUUUGUGCUUCUGUCCUUUGCCUUCUGCUGGAAUUUAUUGGAGGGUGGCAGGCCCCUGGCUUUCUUGUGCUGUGUGUGUGUGAGCACUCACGUGGGCCGCAGACCUUCAUUCUGUGACCUUAGCCAGAUGCAGUGCCAAGCCUUACACAGGAACCACCUCCCUCGGCUGCUGGAUGGUUCUGUGCUCUGCAGAGAUAGUCCCCUAGGGUUUAUUCUGCAUAUGUGCAGUAGAAAAUUUGAUUGGCAUCUUUCAGAUUAGAAAUGGGCAGGAAUUUCGUAGAUAGAUCAGUUUUAUUAUUACAGUGUUCUAAAAGUGUUGUCUUCAGCAUGGCUCACCUUUGCAGAUGAUCGAGGUGCACUGAGGUGAGAGAUUUGGCCCCCACUUCUGCCAAGUCAGCCUCAGCUCUGUUCUCGUCUACACCUCUGUGUGCUGAUUCUCUGAUCCGCUGUUGGAGGAUUGCUGCCCACUCCUGCUGCUCCCCCGUGCUCCUGCUCCUUAUAAAUGCUGCUGCUCCUUAUAAAUGCUGCUGCUCCCCCAUGCUGCUGCUCCUUGUAAAUGCUGCUGCUCCCCCGUGCUGCUGCUCCUUGUAAAUGCUGCUGCUCCUUGUAAGUGCUGCUCCCCCGUGCUGCUGCUCCUUGUAAAUGCUGCUGCUCCUUGUAAAUGCUGCUCCCCCAUGCUGCUGCUCCUUGUAAAUGCUGCUGCUGCUUGGAAAUGCUGCUGCUCCUUGUAAAUGCUGCUGCUCCCCCGUGCUGCUGCUGCUUGUAAAUGCUGCUGCUCCCUCGUGCUCCUGCUCCCCCGUGCUGCUGCUCCUUGUAAAUGCUGCUGCUCCCCCGUGCUGCUGUUCCCCUGUGCUGCUGCUCCCCCGUGCUGCUGCUCCCCUGUGCUGCUGCUCUGCACUUCUCUCCUUUUCUCCCCCUUCUCUUCUUUUGCCUUAUCUCUUUGGUUGGCUUUCACAUAAAAACGGGAACGUUUAGUAGACAUUAUUCACUGAUUUAUUAAUUAUUUCAUUCCAGAGCUGGGCAUUCAGGGAUGCAAAGAUUAUGAGCAUGACGUAGUACUGCCCUUGUGGUGAUCGUAGGGAGAAACAUCUGACUGUGACAUUCCAGUAUAUUAUAAUAAAGACUGUUAAAGUCUGUGCUGAGCAUUAUAUUUAUGUAAUUUCAUACAGUCUUUUAAAAAAUCCUGUUUUUUUCAUACCACCUUUAUUCAGUUUAUGGUGCAUUUGUUAUUACUGUGAUUCUCAUGCGUAAUGUAUUCUCACCAGAAUAUUUUAUUUGCCCCCCUGUUACCGUCUAAGGCCAACUUCAGACUUAUGCCUUGGCAUACUUCACCACAAGCCUGAUAUCUUCAGUGCCUUAUGUCUUAAAGAGAAAAAAGAUAGGUUGUCGCAGAGGGUAUAUCACAACCCCUUUGAGAUGACUGAAGAUGAUAGUUCAGUCCAGUUUUAUGCGUCACGGGCAGCUGGAAACUAGCCCUCUGCACCCUGCUGAGGAGCCUGAGCUGCUUCUGUCCUGUGCAUGGUUGUGCCCUGACCUUCACUUCUUUGCGGAGGGCUCCCGUAUCCCGACGUCAUAGUUCCUACCCUCUCUCCCAACUCAACUCCUUUUGUUUUUAUUAUUUUACUCUAGAGAAGCAACUCACUGAUUAUUCUGAGACACUGUUCUGUAAGAACUAGUUAUUAAUUUGAUCAGUAGACGUUUAUUGAGCAUUACUACCAGCCAGGUACCACUCUUGAGUGCUGGGGACAGAUAAGGGCACAAAGUAACACCUCUGCCCACUUGGAGCUUUUGUUCUGGUGUGGGAGCCUCCCAGGAAACCAAUAAACAUGCGUUGCGAAGCCAGAUGGUGGCCGAUCCUGGGAAGAAAGUAAAGCCGGGUAAAGGGGUGGGAGACACGGGCGGGGUGUGUGUGCUGCUGUAUUCACUACAUCCCAGGCCUCUCUGAGGAGCUGACAGUUAACCACGGACCUGAGUGUCUUGGUCAGUUUGGGCUGCUGUAACAAAUAAAACAUAUAUGGGCGGCUUAACGACAGACAUUUGUUUUUCACACUUCUGGAGGCUGGAAGUCUGAGAUCAGGAGGCCAACACGGGCAGGUACUUGGUGAGGACUCUUCCUGGUUUCAGACAGCUGCCUUCUUGCUGUAUCCUCACAGGGCAGAGAGAAAGAUCAUUUCUCUUGUGUCUCUUCCUAUAAGGGCCCUAAUCCCAAUCAUGGGGGCUCCGCCCUCAUGACCUAAUCACCUCCCAGGGGCACCACCUCCAAAUACCAUCACAGUGGGGAUUAGGGAUUCAACAUAUGAAUUCUGGGAGACGCAAGCAUUCAGUCCACAGCACUGAGUGAAGUGAGGAAGAGCAUUCCAGGCACAGGGAAUUGCAAAUUCGUAGGCCCUGGCAUGAGCCUGGGCUUGGCUUGUCAGAGGGAUAGCCCUGUCAGAGCAGAACAGGCAGGAAAGGAGACAGCAUUUGGAAAUGAAGUUGGACAGAGAUCGAGGUCCAGUCCACGUAAGGCUAAUAGCUGUGGUGGGCAGUUCAGAUUUGAUUCCCAGGCAUGAGGAGUCUUUCUGAAAAGGGGAAAGAUGUGUUAGGACUUAGAAUUUUAAAAGGUCACUUUGGAUGCUGUGGGUUGAGGGUCAAAAGUAGAAACUGGGGUGGUUUAGGGGAGAGCUGGUGUGCCUGAGAUGGGCUGGUAGCUCAGUCUGGAUUGGGGAAGAGGUUCUUGGAUUGGGGACAUUGAAGGUAGAGCUGGUACAUUUUGCUGAUAGAUCAUUGGUGGGGUAUGAAUGAAAGAAGAGCCAAGGAGAACCCUGAGAUUUUUAUACUGAGCAGCUAGGUGGAGGAAGGUGCCAUUUACUGAGAUGGGGAAAGUAAGGGUUGAUAGUGAAAGAUGUUGGUGUGAAAAAGGAUCUCAUAGUCAAAUACGUUUUGGAAAAAUGGUUCUAGAGCAUGAUCAGGAGAGCUGGAGCAGGUGCGACAGAAUACAGGGGAGAGACUAAAGAAAACCAUUUUUCUUAUUUCCCUAUUUUUUCCUCCUAACUCUCCAUAUUCCCACCAACAGUUACUGAAUGUUGGUGUGGUACCUAGAAAAAAACCAGUUAAUUCAGUCCAACCAUUUGUCAGUUUAUUCAGACAACUGAUUUGACAUUUUAAUUAACCACAACCAUAAUGAUUGUACUGAUUGUUCAGAUAGAGUCAACCACUGUGUUUGGUUGAAGCCAGAGCAAUCAAGAGUGCAGUCAAAGUUUCCUGAGGAAUUUUCUUGCCACUACAGAACAGGAAGAUGGCAUUUGCCCUCAAUGUUAGAUUCUGGUAGAAUGCUGAGUGGGAGGCCCUUAGGGAAUACGGGUAGGAAACAGCAGAACAAGAUGAAAAAAUACCAACAGGGAAUAACCUGAGAGCAGCAGAUAGAUCAGUGGCUGAGUUAGAAUGCAGAGUGUUGGAGAGGAUGCACUUAGACUCCCCAGCGAGGUGCGUUUUCUCAUGGGCCUUCCCCGGGUUUAGGGCACAUUCUGCAGUGUCAGUGAGCUUUGUUGGGGGAAGGGAGAGCUCACAAGGCUUGGUUGAAAACGGAAGGGAAGGGAGGUCCACCACUGCCCAUCGUCCCACAGAGAGGUGUGCGGAGCCGGUGCGCCCUCAGUGUAGUGUAGGUCUGUGUUUGAGUGAUGGGAUGGUGCCCCCUUCCUAUGUUUUUAAAAAUAGAUUUUGGUUCUUUUAGGUGAAGUUCAUAACAUAAGGUGAGCCAUUUCCAAGUGAAAAGUGGCAUUUAAUACAUUAGCGUUGUGCAACCACCACCUCUGUCUAGUUCCUAAACAUCUUCAUCACCUCAGAAGAAACCUCUCUGUGUCCGUUGAGCAGUCACUCCUUAUUUCCCCCUCUUUCUAGCCCUGGCAAACAUCUUCACAUCUUCACCUUUUUUAUGGGGCACAAGAAAGCACCUUUAAUGGUGGGUGAAUACACAGGCUGCUUCGGACCAGGGAGUCCAGAUUUGGGACACCUGCUAUUUACAGGCAUUGUUUGGGAACACCAGCUGCCCCCCCCACCCCGACCCCAUACCUGGAGACCUUGGGACCUGUGGGAAGCUGCAGAAGUUCCCCAAAACUCAGAGAGGAAAAGGCACUGGGCCUGUGCGAAGCUGAGUUUGACUCUGUCCUCUCCCCUGCAAAAAAGUACCUUCCCAGCAAAUGAUCUGGGAAAAACGAGUGUGUUGAGGUGACCCAGAGGGUUUAAGGCAAUUGUGCUCAUUCUGGCACAACUAUGAACAAGCACGGUUAAAGGUAACAUGUGAAGUGUCCUUUCCAACUUUGCCUGUCAUACAUCUGGCACCACCAUUCAGCUGUUGAGGGCAUCAAGAAAUUACAUAAAGAGAUGAGAACAUUGAAUCAUUAAUGUGUUCUUUCAAAUGGGAAUUUGUAAGAUCUUAAGGUCUUGAGACAGACUGGCCACACUCUUCUCAGUUGAAAAUGCCAUUGUCCCAGCUGUUCAAGAACCAGAUGUUGGAAACCUAAUAGUACAGAUUCUAGGGCACCUGCUGAGCUAAGUGAAUGGAGUAGAGAGAUGCACAGAGUAGAAGGAAUUUUUCAUUCUUCCCUGUGUCCUUCUGUUAUGGACUGUAUGUUUGUGUUCCCCAGAUUCAUAUAUUGAAGGUCUAAUAACCCCCAGUGUUUGGUAUUCAGAGGUAGGGCCUUGGGGAGAUAACAGGUUUAGAGAGUGGUGUCCCCAUGAGGGAUUAGUUUGCUUGUAAGAAGAGGACGACCAGAGCUUGCUCCCCCCGACCCUCGCUCCCCCGUAAGGACACAGUGAAAAGGGGGCUGUCCCCGAGCCAGGAAGAGAGCGCUCACCAGAGCCCGACCAUCUGGCACCCUCACAUUGGACCUAACAGCCUCCAGAACUGUAAGAGAAAAUUUUCUGUUGUUUAAGCCACCCAGCCUGUGGAAUUUGUUACGGAGGCCCGAGCUAAUGAGACACCUUCCCUUCGUAUUUAUUCAUUUGAUGAGCUAUACGUACCAGUUGUACAAAACUAGAUAAUUAAAUCCAAACACUACAGGGGUGUAUAAAGUUUAAGUAAAACUCUAUCUUCUUCCCUCCGAUCAUAAGACCUUUUGAAGUAGGCUUUGAACAGUUUGGGGUUUAUUCUUCUAGACCCACACCAUCUAACAAAGUUGCCGUUUGCCACCUGUGGCAAUUUAAAUUUCUCUGUUUUAAGACUUUUUUGAUGUGGGCCAUUUUUAAAGUCUUCAUUGAAUUUGUUAACAUAUUGCUUCUGUUUUAUGUUUUGGUUUUUUGGCCGCGAGGCAUGUGGGAUCACGUAGGAUCUUAGCUUCCCGACCAGGCAUUGAACCCACAGCCCCUGUGUUGGAAGGCGAAGUCUUAACCACGAGACCACCAGGGAAGUUACUGUGGCUAUUUAAAUUUAACUUAAUUAAAAUUAAAUAUAAGUAAACGUCCAGUACCUCAGUCAUACUGGCCAUCUUUCACAUGCUCAGUAGCUGUGUAUGACGAGUUGCUACCAUGUUGGACAGGGUAGGUGGAGAGCAUUUCCAUCAUCACAGGAUGUGCUGUUGAACAGCACCGUUUUAGAUAAGUUAUAUUCCUACACAAACAUGUAUAUCUAUAUAUAAAUAUAUAUAUGCAUAUAUAUAUAUGUGCAGUUGGCAUAAUAUGGUACAUAUGCUUCUGCAAUUUGUUUUUUCCACCUAACAGAGAAACUGUUAAUUUAGUGUGAUGCACACGUAACAUCAUGCCAGGAAAAUUAUAAAACAGAGUGCAUCAUCAAACAUAGAGUUUCAGUAAAUUAAAACUCUUUCAAUUUCAGAUCUUAAAGGUAGUUGCAGCAUAGCUUUAAGGCCUUUUCCAACUUUAACUAAAGAAAUUAUUUUUUGAAAUAGUCCACUCAGCCUUGGGUACGUAAAGAAAGACGAUUCAGGAGAUGUAGCUUGAGCUUAAUCUACCAUGCUUGCCAUACAUAUUCAUACACACACGUUUCUUUCUGUCCCUGUUUCAUAACAGGGAUUGUAAUCUUUUUCUGUUUAUCCACUAUUUGGUAGACCAGGACUGUCCAAAAUGGUAGCCACUAGGCACCUGUGGUUAUUUAAACUAAAUUAAACUAAAAAUUCAGUUCCUCAGUUGUACUAGGCACGUUUCAAGUAUCCAUUUAGCCACAUGUGGCUGGUGGAUACGGGUGUUAGGCAUCGUGGAUAUAGAGUAUUGCUAGUUUGCAGAACGUUCAUGUGGACAGUGUUGCACUAGAAGAUAUUCUUCAGAUAUCUUUCUCCUUAAAUUCAGUGAGUUUUCCACAGGUGAUGGAUGGGGGACUCUGCCCAGGGGGACAUGCAGAAUUUCUGGGGGUGGGUGGAGAGCUUGCACUUCCAUGCCCUUCCCGUUCAAGAUUUUUUUAAUUCCUCCCUCUGAAGACGCAUGUUCUUCCAGCUAUUUGUUGAGAAUUAGUGUUCCAUGGAAGUUAAUUGUGGGAAAGAAAAUUGGUACUAAGAGCUUUUCAAGGUUAGACUAUUUGUGAUAAUUGGUGGUGCACACACACUGUUAAAUAGCACCUGUAUAUACAGUAAAUGUCACUGUUCAGUUUAGAAUAGAAAGUAAAUUACAGUGAGUGCUGACAAAAAAAUAUGUUUAAGCUUUUUAAAAUGAGAAAAGAAUAGAAUAUUGGAAAUGCAAAACAGAAUGUGUUUAUGUUGACAUUUAUGUUAGAAAAUACAUAAUUUGGACAAAUUCACAGGAAACAGGAAGAAUAGUUCCCUUUGGGAAGGGAAAUGGUGUAAGGGAAACAGAGAUAGAACAGAGUGGCUUUUUCACUGUAUAUUCUUUUCUUAAUGUACCUUGUAACUAUGUGCUUGUUAGUAAAAAAAAAAAAAAAUCAAUAAA